rnacentral:rRNA from 1 species
UGGGGAUUAUUGGACAAUGGGCGAAAGCCUGAUCCAGCCAUGCCUCGUGUGUGAAGAAGUUCGUCGGAUUGUAAUGCACUUUCCGGUGGGAGGAAGGGCAGUAAGCGAAUACCUUGCUGUUUUGACGUUACCGACAGAAUAAGCACCGGCUAACUCUGUGCCAGCAGCCGCGGUAAUACAGAGGGUGCAAGCGUUAAUCGGAAUUACUGGGCGGAAAGCGCGCGUAGGUGGUUCGUUAAGUUGAAUGUGAAAGCCACGGGCUCAACCUGGGGACUGCAUCCAAAACUGGCGAGCUAGAGUAGGGCAGAGGGUGGUGGAAUUUCCUGUGUAGCAGUGAAAUGCGGAGUAAUAGGAAGGAACAACAGUGGCGAAGGAGACAACCUGGGAUCAUAGUGACACUGAGGUGCGAAGGCGUGGGGAGCAAACAGG